AUUAAUUAAGACAUUACCUUUUUGUUGAUUGUUUACUGAUCUAUAAAUCAUUUUGCAUUCUCAUAAUUGAUCAUCAUAACUUGGUAUACAGUGGAUGUGUGGCUGUAGAUAACUUUCUGAAGUCAAUUUAAAAAGGCAAAAGUUAAUAAAUGCUAAAUUGGUCAAAUAUACAUUGUUGUAUUUUCACCAUUUUGAUCUUAUUUAGGCAUUUCAUAACUUGAGGGAAAUUUACGUAUACUGAUGUUUCAAAUCAAAUAUUAAUUUAUUAAUGACAGCUAAUCAUUUUAUAAAGAUUUUUUAUAACAAUAUUUAUUUAUAUAAUAUCAAUUUAAUACAUUUAUUUCGUUACACCUACAUCACUGAGCGCAAGGGAGUGCAGCCAACAAAUACAUUCAGGUGUGUUUGACUUAACACCGAGAUGCGCAGACAGCACGUGGUAUGACAUCAAGUACCGCGAGAGUUUGGGAAAGCCCCGGAAAAGGUUUGAACUCGCGGUACUUGAUGUCACGAUCGGUUUGCGAGUAGAUCAGCAUGAAGUCAAACACAUCUGAGAGAUGUGUGGGCUGCCUGCACUCAACGUUGGGAUCAUUCAAUAGAGUGUAACCUCAAUCGGUUUUUGCAGCUUCUGGGUCCCGUGUAGAACGAUUUUUUGUUCUUUUCCAACUCGAUUUUUAACUCCCUAAACUAGUAGGAUGUUCCAACGGGUGAAGCAACAGUGCUGACGGCAGUUUCAGUGUCAAGUUUUCAUGCCAUGACCACUGGGGCGGAAACCAUUAUGACAUUGCCUUGGACAUCAAACUAAACCAUCUCAUUCUGGCUUUUGAGGUGGAUUCUAACCUCGAAAUCUCAGAAGGACAGGUCUAAGAUGGACGCAGCCUCCAUAGGAUGCAACCUUGCAUUUGAGAAACACCCAUAGAACGGUCAACUUACCCCAUACUCUAACCUGAAUGCAGGGAUCAUAAAACUUUAUCUUUUACCUUAAUUGUUAGAUGGGUGUUGAUACCAAACUUUUUUUCUCGUCUACCCAGGAGAAAGUCAUGGUGUUCUGCUGCUAAGGUUGUCAUAAACGUCUUUUAUUCUGCUUACCUGACUCAUGCAGAAUUCUGGCUUGAUGUUUGGUCCACCUGUUAGCUGGCUCUGGUGCUUGGUAGUCUUCUCAAACCUCUGAAUCAAGACCACCAUGAGAGGCCUUCUGAAGACCAUCAUUACGCUUCAGAUCCAGUUGUCUUUACUUUGAGCCUACCACAAUCCCUGUGCACCAGCUAUGGAAAGUGCAGACCAAACUUCUACCUCCACCUAUAGAACUGAACUGGAGUCUAUGAACUAAUGCUGUGUUCGAGACAACUUGGAUGUUGGAUAUUAUUAACCUUAAACCCGUAAGAAGUCAGGAACAGGAAACAAAGUGGAGUAUCCGACCUCUCAACUUGGACCAGAUCGAUCAACACCGACCUCAACGAGAUGCGUCAUUUGACAUUGCAGACAAGGUGGUGGCUAGCCUUUCACAGCCUUACAUGAACCGCAAACAAACUUUAAACAGCACGUAAUAUAGAUGAACAUGAAUGUUAAAUUAUCCAGUAACCGUUUUCUGCCAUAAUUGGCACAAGAGCACAAACUUCUCCUGGCGUCUCAUUAUGUGGUAAACACGCAAAUGUGAUACGUGAUUGACUGGAAUGCAUUGAGGUCGGAGGUAGGAUAUUUAAUGACAUAACAUCAGAAAUCAGAGUUGUCUGUAACACUGCACAAUAUUUCACCUAAUUGUUAGCACCUGAUUAUCAUGUUUUUAAAGGAAUAGUCUA